rnacentral:lncRNA from 1 species
GUUCUGCCCACAAAGGAGAUUGUGGCAUACUGCUGGGCCUAACACUAAGGUGAUGUUACUUCUCUGCUUUGGCUAUGUCCUUAGAAGGCAUUGAGACACACUGCUGGGCCCAGCACCAAGAUGAUGUGAGUCCUCUGCCUGAACCCUGACCACAGGGAGCAUUGUGACAUAUUUCUUGACCCACUGCAAUCUCUCCUAUGGACAAAGCCCAGGUGUUAUGACUCUCGUCUUUUCACUGGAACCUGCCAAAAAGGGUGAUUGUGACAUAUCACUGGACCCAGCACCUUGGUGAUGUGACUCUCCUCUCCUCCUUAGGCCCUGCUUACAUUGUGUCUGUUGAAAUACGGCUGGUCCAACACCUAGGUAAUGUGACUCUCCUGCAUAGGCCUUGCUAAUAGGGGAUGUAUGACAUAUGUUUUGUUUAUCACUUAAGUGAUGUUACUCUCCUUUUCUUCCUGAAUCCUGUAAAAGGUGGGGGAUUGUGACCCUAUCACUGGACCCAGCACAUAAGUAAUAUGAGUUUCCUGCAUAGGCUCUGUUCAGAAGGGUAUUAUGACAUAUCUUUUUGUUCAUCACUUUGUGACUUGUCUUUUGACUGGAACCUGCCAAAAAGGGUGAUUGUGACAUAUUGCUGGACCCAGCACCUAGGUGAUGUGGCUCUCCUUUUUUUCUGGGCCUCACAUAUUUUGGGUAUUGUGAUGUAUAGCUGGGCUCAACACCUAGCAGUUGGGGAGCUCCUUUCUUGACCAUUCCCACAAAUGACAUAUCUCUGCUAUGACCGCCUAUGACACAUGACCUAAAUAUGUGACCCUUCUUUUCUGCCUGUACCCUGCUAACAGAGAAGAUUGUGACAAAUUGCUAAGUGCAUUGUAUCUUGUGCUAACCUUCUAUCUCAGCCUGUGACCAAGAAUGCCUAACUGCCGGGGAAUGCAGCCCUGUAGGUCUCAACCUCAAUUUGCCCAGCCACUAUUCAAAAUAGAGUCACUCUGGUUUAAAUGCCUCUGACAUUAAGAUACACUGUAAAAUUAUGAAAAAAGUUGAUUUGAAUUUUAGCAAAUGAGAAAUGAAAUAAUUAGAAUGGGCUAUUCUGAAAGAUAUAGCAUUAGUUAUAUUUGUGUUUGAGUUUUCUAUUAACCUAUAUUUGUUACUUAUGAAUAGAUACCUUGUUUUAUUCUGUCUAAACAGAUACACUAGGUGGGGUGCGGUGGCCAUGCCUGUAAUCCCAGCACUUUGGGAGGCCGAGGGGAGUGGAUCACCUGAGGUCAGGAAUUUGGGACAAGCCUGACCAACAUGGCAAAACCCUGUCUCUACUAAAAAUACAAAAAUCAGCUGACCAUGGUGGCGGGUGCCUGUAAUCCCAGCUACUUCAGAGGCUGAGGCAGGAGAAUUGCUUGAACCCGAGAGGUGGAGGUUGCAGUGAGCCAAGAUCAUGCCACUGCAUUCCACCCUGGGUGACAGAGCGAGACUCUGUCUCAAAAAAUAAGAAAAAAUAAGCGGCCGGGCAUGCUGGCUCACGCCUGUAAUCCCAACACUUUGGGAGGCCGAGGAGGGUGGAUCGCAAGGUCAGGAGUUCAAGACCAGCCUGGCCAAGAUGGUGAAACCCUGUCUCUACUAAAAAUACAAAAAUUAGCCACGUGUGUUGGCAGGUGCCUGUAAUCCCAGCUACUCGGGAGGCUGAGGCAGAGAAUUGCUUGAACCCAGGAGGCAGAGUUUGCAGUGAGCCGAGAUCUCACCAUUGCACUCCAGCCUGGGUGACAGAGGGAGAUUCUGUCUCAAAAAAAAAAAAAGGACAUAAAUUUAAUGUUAAGUGUGGACUCAUAAAGAAUCUAGACAGCCACCAAGCCAUUUGUUUAUUCUUGAUUUCUUAAAGCUUCCAUUAUUAAAAGCUCUGCAUUCCAUUACUCAUC